AAAUUUAUCUGGCGGGGGAAAUACUAUGAUUAUGAAGGUAGUUUUCUCAGGAUGACUUAUCCAUUGCAAUUUGAAUGUGAUGACCCCUAUGAUUUCCCCAAAUGAGAGAAACUCGACUUCAUAUUUGUGGUAGUAGGAUCCUGUGUUCACUUUCUCCUU